UACAGAGGUCUCGAGCGUUAGGCGGAAUCACUGGGCUUAAAGCGUGUGUAGGCGGAUCGUUAAGUACCUUGUGAAAUCCCACGGCUUAACCGUGGAACUGCUUGGUAUACUGGCGGUCUUGAGCCAGCUAGGGGCUACCGGAACAAAUGGUGGAGCGGUGAAAUGCGUAGAUAUCGGGAGGAACACCUGUGGCGAAAGCGGCUCACUGGACCACAACUGACGCUGAUGCGCGAAACUAGGGAGCAACAGG
rnacentral:rRNA from 1 species